UUACAGGAGACGCGCAUGUUUAUUGGCUCUUUCAGGAGAAUAGUUGAUUUUCAUUUGCCUUUUCUGGCCUUGAUCUUCCUCAGGUAGAACUCUAAUUCCUUGCCUUCCAACACAUAGCCAUCAGCUCGGCCACACUGUCCAGGUCUGGAGGCAAUGCAGGCCAGUAGCUUUCCUUGCUGGAACUGCUCCUCAAGAAUACUGGCUAUCUUGGCAUUCUUCUUCCGCUCAUCAUAUUUCUUCUGGAUCUUCUUUGAACGCUUCUUGUUCAAGAUUUCUUCUUCCUCAGGUGUCAGCUUGGCACCCUUCUUGCGUCCAAGGGGCAAGGCAUAGUGGGCUUCGUACCACUGCCGGUACGGCGUGCUGUCAACGAGAACGAUGCAGUUCUUCACCAGGGUCUUUGUCCGCACCAGCUCGUUGUUGGAAGCAUUGUAGACAACAUCAAUGAUUCUGGUCUUGCGAGUGCAGCAUUCAGAGCCCCAAGAGAAGUUGCCAACAUCCAACCGAAGGGCACGGUACUUCUUAUUACCACCACGAACCCUCACUGUAUGAAUCCGGCGUGGCCCAAUCUUAGUGUUGGCAGGAGGCCGCCCCAGCUCAUACUUCCUCUUCUUGUGGUAGGGCUUCCUCUUGCCCCCAGUCUUGCGACGCUUAUGCCAGUUGUCCCUGGAGAUACCCAUGGCGCAGCACCGGCGCAAAGAGGCGGCGCAAAGGAUCACGGGGCGGUAUGCCGCCGCGAAUUCUCGCGAGGCCGUGACGUCAUCGCGCCGCCACGGGGGGCGGGCGCCGUUGCCAAGAGAAACCGCAGAGACGGGAACCCGGAAGCUGACCGGCCUGUCUGAGGCCCUCAUUAGCAUACAGCUUCAUAAUAUGCAUACCCAGCGUGCACCGCGGCCGCCGGGACCCGACAGCGCUGUGCUGCGCCGCCGCUCC
rnacentral:lncRNA from 1 species